rnacentral:rRNA from 1 species
GUAGGUGGCAAGCGUUGUCCGGAAUUAUUGGGGCGUAAAGCGCGCGCAGGCGGGUCUUUUAAGUCUGAUGUGAAAGCCCACGGGCUCAACCGUGGAGGGUCAUUGGAAACUGGGGGACUUGAGUACAGAAGAGGAAAGCGGAAUUCCAAGUGUAGCGGUGAAAUGCGUAGAGAUUUGGAGGAACACCAGUGGCGAAGGCGGCUUUCUGGUCUGUAACUGACGCUGAGGCGCGAAAGCGUGGGGAGCAAACAGGAUUAGAUACCCUGGUAGUCCACGCCGUAAACGAUGAGUGCUAAGUGUUAGGGGGUUUCCGCCCCUUAGUGCUGCAGCUAACGCAUUAAGCACUCCGCCUGGGGAGUACGGCCGCAAAGGCUG